GGCGGAGAGGGAGGAGGAAGAGGGAAAGGUGAGGCGGAGAGCAGGGCGCUGUGCCAGGAAGCAGCAUCCAGGACCUUAAUCGUGUGACCGGGGGACGCGCCGGGGCCGAGUGUGCCCGAGACCAGGCGCGUACACGUGUCCGUGUGUGUGAGUGUGGGAGAGAGCCGAGGAGCCUACCAUGCGCUUCCCCCAGUGCGGAUCGCGGGAGAGCCCAAUCCCAGGGCGAGCUGGACCGCGCUGUGAUCAUUUAUAAUCCGUGUGUCCUCCACGCCGCCGCUCGUCAAGAUGACAGAUGGGAUUUGCCGGACUGAACCACGUUCGCUGCCCCUCCCUCCCUCCCCCCUCCGGCCGCGUCGGUACAGGGAAGGCACCGAGGCUCCCAUGCUGUGACCAAUCAGUGCAUCUACUACUCUGGCCGUGAUUUAGGGGUCAUCCAUGAAUAACACUUCACGCUGAUGAAUGGCUCUUGCCGGCUUUCGGCUCUGAUGAGGGGUCUGCCCGCCGCUGAUUGCAAACACUAAUGAACUUCCAGCGCCAUUUGAAAUUCACACGCACCAACAAAGUGCGCGGUGUGGGCAUUCCAGGUCAGCUGAGGCCCCCGAGGAGGUGGGAGUGCAAGACACUGCCGGGAAGAUGGAUUCUGAGGCCCAAGGGUGUAAUUAAGGAUUUCCACCCCCGGUAGGCGGCCCGUCCUUUACACAACCUCGGAAAAGGACCUUGGCCUUCCCUUCCAGAGUGUCCUCUCCUCCGAGACUCAAAAGCACAAAUGACCUUCGAAAGGGGAAGGGAACUCAAAACACUCAGACUUUCUUACAAGCCCACUUCGGCACUGUCGUAGAACAAGUGUCCGCUCUCGGGUUCAAGCACCAGGACCUCCAACAAGCGCGCACUGGCCAGGGGACGGAAUCUGGAGUCCUCUCAAGUGUCCCC